AAAAUAACAUAUCAAAUCUGAUCUCACUUCUCUAUAUUCCUCGUUUACAUUGAAAGCAGCUGCCUUUCCCAGUUUCCCUUUUGUAUAUCCACUUCUUUCGUCGAAUCCUAGUGGGCUAUAUAUUCUAGAGUGGCAGUUUCAGGUUUCAAAUAGUAUCAAGUAUCAAUCAUUAUAUCUCUUGGAUUUCAGAGUUUCAAACAUGAACAGACCUCCAAAGUACGCUACUCCAUACCCUGCCCAAGGUUAUUAUCAGGGUCCUCCUCCCCCAGUGAUGCCACCCCCAACAUAUGCUGUUCCUCCACCUCGUAAAAACAGAGGUUUUCUUAAGGGAUGUUUGGCAGCGUUGUGUUGUUGUUGCUUCCUAGAUGAGUGUUGCUGUGAUCCCUCUGACAUCUUCCUGUUCUAAGAUGCAGUCAUGGGGUUAAUUAGCCCUUUUAUAUUAUUUUGUUUUGGCUGUGGUCAAAUAAGAUUUUAGGCCAAUAAAUUAUCUAGCUAGAUUUCUUGAUCAUUUUGUAGCUUAUUUGGGAUUUGUACAAUGAUCUUCUUUUAUCAUUUAAAUCAUUCUGUUUAUUGGAAGAGUUGCAAUUUUAUCUAU